rnacentral:rRNA from 1 species
AACGAACGCUGGCGGCAUGCCUAACACAUGCAAGUCGAACGAGACCUUCGGGUCUAGUGGCGCACGGGUGCUUAACGCGUGGGAACCUGCCCUUAGGUUCGGAAUAACUCCCCGAGAGGGGUGCUAAUACCGGAUAAUGUCUUCGGACCAACGAUUUAUCGCCGUUGGAUGGGCCCGCGUUGGAUUAGCUAGUUGGUAGGGUAAAAGCCUACCAAGGCGACGAUCCAUAGCUGGUCUGAGAGGAUGAUAAGCCACACUGGGACUGAGACACGGCCCAGACUCCUACGGGAGGCAGCAGUGGGGAAUAUUGGACACUGGGCGCAAGCCUGAUCCAGCAAUGCCGCGUGAGUGAUGAAGGCCUUAGGGUUGUAAAGCUCUUUUACCCGGGAUGAUAAUGACAGUACCGGGAGAAUAAGCUCCGGCUAACUCCGUG